rnacentral:rRNA from 1 species
CCCUUAGAUGUUCUGGGCCGCACGCGCGCUACACUGACGAAUGCAACGAGCUUAUAACCUUGGCCGAAAGGUCUGGGUAAUCUCCAAAUUUCGUCGUGAUGGGGAUAGAUUAUUGCAAUUAUUAAUCUUCAACGAGGAAUGCCUAGUAAGCGCAAGUCAUCAGCUUGCGUUGAUUACGUCCCUGCCCUUUGUACACACCGCCCGUCGCUCCUACCGAUUGAAUGGUCCGGUGAAGCGUUCGGACCGUGGCCUUUGGACGGUUCGCCGUCUGUUGGCUGCGGGAAGUUCGUUAAACCUUAUCAUUUAGAGGAAGGAGANGUCGUAACA